rnacentral:rRNA from 1 species
UACGUAGGCAGCGAGCGUUGUUCGGAGUUACUGGGCGUAAAGGGUGUGUAGGCGGUUGUUUAAGUUUGGUGUGAAAUCUCCCGGCUCAACUGGGAGGGUGCGCCGAAUACUGAAUGACUUGGAGUGCGGGAGAGGAGAGUGGAAUUCCUGGUGUAGCGGUGAAAUGCGUAGAUAUCAGGAGGAACACCGGUGGCGAAGGCGGGUCUCUGGGCCGUUACUGACACUGAGAGACGAAAGCUAGGGGAGCGAAUGGG